AUGCCUUACGUCAAAAUUCAUGCAUGCCCCAAUAAUUGUAUGAUUUAUUAUAAGGAUAAUGAAAAUAAAGAAAAAUGCACUAUCUGCAAAGAACCUAGAUAUGAGGAAACAACCGCAGGAAAUAAAUCUACGAAGAUACCAAGAAAAGUUCUGCGCUAUCUCCCAAUUACUCCUAGGCUACAACGGUUGUACAUGUCACAAAGCACUGCCAAGCACAUGGACUAUCACGCAAGGCCUCAUAACAGUGAUGAAGUAAUGGUUCACCCUUCUCAUGGUGAAGCUUGGAAGGAAUUUAAUAAGGAAUUUAAAAAAUUUGCUGAGGAAGUAAGGAAUAUAAGGCUAUGUCUAGCAACUGACGGAUUCACACCUUUUGGUAUUACAGCAGCCUCCUACUCAUGUUGGCCAGUAUUUGUUGUGCCUUAUAAUCUUCCACCAGAAAUGUGCAUGAAGCAGAGUAACCUGAUCCUUACACUAGUUAUUCCCGGUCCAGAUCAUCCAGGAAAGAACCUAAACGUUUUUAUGCAGCCUCUAGUUGACGAACUUGAUGAUUUGUGGAGAAAUGGUGUAGAAACUUAUGAUAGUUAUCGAAAGCAAAAUUUCACCUUAAAGGCAGCUUUGCUUUGGACUAUUCAUGACUUUCCAGCUUAUGGAUUAGUAGCAUGCUGGAGCACUCAUGGAAAGCUUGCUUGCCCUAUAUGUGGAUCUGACAUAAAGACAUUCUCAUUGAAGAAUGGGAGAAAACCAUGCUGGUUUGACUGCCAUAGGAGAUUCCUUCCCACUGACCAUGCAUUUCGUAGGAGUGUGAAAUGUUUUUGCAAGAAAAAAACAGUUUUAGAUCCUCCACCAAAGCCCUUGUCCGGAGAACAGGUGUAUGAAGAACUCCAAAGUCUUGUCCAUGAUGAAACUGGCAAGAGUAAAUUUGAGGGGUUUGGGAAGGAGCACAAUUGGAUAGCUAUAAGUGGUUUGUGGCAGCUAGAGUAUUUUCGGAAGUUGCUGCUUCGCCAUAACAUUGAUGUAAUGCACAAUGAGAAAAAUGUAUCUGAGGCUUUACUAAACACAUGCCUUGAUAUUCCUGAGAAAACUAAGGAUAGCAACAAAGCACGCCUUGAUGUUGCUUUGUAUUGUGAUCGACCAAAGGUACACCUGAACAAGAAUUCAAGGGGUGUGUGGAAGAAACCUAGAGCGAAAUAUUGUGUCAGCAAGGAAGAUAGAAUGACCAUCCUUAAGUGGUUUAAAGAAGUGAAGUUUUCUGAUGGGUUUGCUGCUAAUUUGAGUAAAACUGUCAACUUGAGUAAAAACAAAUUCAUUGGGCUGAAAAGCCAUGACCACCACAUCAUCAUGGAGCGCCUCCUGCCAGUUGCCCUACGAGGCUUCAUCCCAGAACCUGAAUGGAAGGUCAUAGCAGAGUUAAGUUUUUUUUAUCGGCAAUUGUGUGCCAAAGAAAUUGCUCCAAAACGGAUGCGUGAACUUGAGGAGGAGGUUCCUGUUCUAUUAUGCAAGCUUGAGAAAAUGUUCCCACCAGGCUUCUUCAAUGUAAUGCAACACCUGAUAGUGCAUCUUCCAUAUGAGGCAAGGGUUGGCGGCCCUGUGGCAUAUCGUUGGAUGUAUGUUUUUGAGAGGGCAAUGCACUAUCUUUGUUUAAAAGUGCGAAACAAGGCAAGAGUGGAGGGUUCAAUCGUUGAAGCUUGUAUUGUGCAGGAGAUCACGAAUUGUGUUUCUCUUUACUUUAGUGAUCAUGUUCGCACAAUAUGGAAGAAGAAUCCUCGAUAUAAUAAUGGAGGAACACGUGUGCAGAAUGAUGGUUGCACCUUAGAUGUAUUUCAGCAUGUUGGAAACCUACAUGGGAGGCCUAUUGCCCGAGAACUAUCGCGUGAAGAGUUGAAUGCAGCAAGGCUGUACAUUUUGACUAACUGCUCUGCUGUUGAUAGAUUUCGUGAAACAUAUGAAGAUGAAAAAUAUGUAAGUCAUCCAAACUUGCCAUCGGAGGGCCUUGAUGAAAUGAUGGCAUCCGAAUUUGUGGAAUGGUUCGAGAUUGCUUGCAAAGAAGAUCCCAAUUCUGAUGAGGACUUGUGGAAUUUAGCUAAUGGAUGCAGCUCUAGAGCCUAUUCCUAUAGCUCCUAUGAUGUGAAUGGCUUUCGCUUUAGAUCAGAGAUAUCUGAGAAAAAACGUAGAAGGUUGAAAACGGUGAACACAGGGGUUUGUUUGUCAUCCUUCAUCUCAGAGACUGAACAACUUGAGUACUAUGGUGUCAUUGAGGAAAUUAUCAAAGUAUCCUUCACAGCUGGUAGAAAAAUUGAGAUGGUACUCUUCAAAUGCCGUUGGUUUGACCCCAUCAAGGGUGUGAAGCCAAAUGCAAAAUUAGGUUUGGUGGAGAUAAAGUGGUCUUCAAGGCUAAGUAAUUUUGAACCAUUUGCCAUGGCUCACCAAGCUACGCAAGCUUAUUACUUGCAUUACGCAUCCUCCAGGAGAGAUCUUCGUGAUUGGAGGGUUGUUUACACUAUUCAGCCAAGUACCAGCUUGAGUAACUUUGAUGACUGCGCAAAUGACCCAUCUACUACAGAUGAAUAUUUCCAGGAAGGUGGUCAGCUGGGUAGUUUUUCUGUAGAUGGUGGCAAAUUUGUUGAUGAAUCUACUGAGCCAAGAAAGGAGUCAGAUGAUGUGGAGCUUGAUCCCUCUGAAAUUUAUGUAAUAGAAAAUCAAGGCAAUAAUUAUGAGGGAGAAGAAUCUUCAGAAGAUGAAUUGGACGAGAGUACUGAUGAGGAAGAAGAAGAUUUACCUGAAGAGGAAGGACAAGAAGAGACAUAUGAGACCGAAGAUGAGGAUGAUGCAAUAGAGCAUGACUCUGAAUAUGACGAUGAUGAUUACUCAACAUUUAUAGCUUUUGCACUUGUCAUUUUCUGUCUUGGUACCAAUAAAUAUUAUAUAGUGGCACAACUAGUGAAUAAUAUAGUAUGUUUACUAUUGGUAGUAAUACAUAUUACAUAG
rnacentral:rRNA from 1 species